GGCAACUGUGUCAAAUUCAGUGCCUUCCACACCCAUGGCUGGCACUAGCCGAAAAGGCUGCCCCAGAGACACUAUAACUCAUGGGCCCUGUUCAUCUCUGCUGAGCCUCAGGGAUAAAUUUUGUUAUAGACAUUU